rnacentral:rRNA from 1 species
GUCCACGCCCUAACUAUGGAUACUAAGUGUCGGCGGGUUACCGCCGGUGCCGCAGCUAACGCAUUAAGUAUCCCGCCUGGGAAGUACGGCCGCAAGGUUGAAACUCAAAGGAAUUGACGGGCCCGCACAAGCGGUGGAGCAUGUGGUUUAAUUCGACGCAACGCGAAGAACCUUACCCAGGUUGGACAUGCACGUAGUAGAAAGGUGAAAGCCCGACGAGGUAGCAAUACCAGCGUGCUCAGGUGCUGCAUGGCUGUCGU